AUUGAACGCUGGCGGCAGGCCUAACACAUGCAAGUCGAGCGGAACGGCGGACGGGUGAGUAAUGCAUGGGAAUGUGCCUGGUAGAGGGGGAUAAAGUACGGAAACGGGAGCUAAUAACGCAUACUAUACGAGGAGCCUAGGUGCGAUUAGGUAGUUGGUGGGGUAAAUGCCUACCAAGUCGACGAUCCGUAACUGGUCUGAGAGGAUGAUCAGUCACACUGGAACGUAGACACGGUCCAGACUCCUACGGGAGGCAGCAGGGGGGAAUAUUUGACAAUGGGCGAAAGCCUGAUCCAGCCAUGCCGCGUGUUUGAAGAAGGUCUUCGGAUUGUAAAGCACUUUAAGUUGGGAGGCGUUACCAACAGAAUAAGCACCGGCUAACUUCGUGCCAGCAGCCGCGGUAAUUC
rnacentral:rRNA from 1 species